rnacentral:rRNA from 1 species
GAUGAACGCUGGCGGCGUGCCUAAUACAUGCAAGUCGAGCGAACAGACGAGGAGCUUGCUCCUCUGACGUUAGCGGCGGACGGGUGAGUAACACGUGGAUAACCUACCUAUAAGACUGGGAUAACUUCGGGAAACCGGAGCUAAUACCGGAUAAUAUAUUGAACCGCAUGGUUCAAUAGUGAAAGACGGUUUUGCUGUCACUUAUAGAUGGAUCCGCCCCGCAUUAGCUAGUUGGUAAGGUAACGGCUUACCAAGGCAACGAUGCGUAGCCGACCUGAGAGGGUGAUCGGCCACACUGGAACUGAGACACGGUCCAGACUCCUACGGGAGGCAGCAGUAGGGAAUCUUCCGCAAUGGGCGAAAGCUUGACGGAGCAACGCCGCGUGAGUGAUGAAGGUCUUCGGAUCGUAAAACUCUGUUAUUAGGGAAGAACAAAUGUGUAAGUAACUAUGCACGUCUUGACGGUACCUAAUCAGAAAGCCACGGCUAACUACGUG